GAUGAAGAACGUAGUGAAAUGCGAUAAGUAAUGUGAAUUGCAGAAUUCAGUGAAUCAUCGAAUCUUUGAACGCACAUUGCGCCCUCUGGUAUUCCGGGGGGCAUGCCUGUUCGAGCGUCAUUAUAACCACUCAAGCUCUCGCUUGGUAUUGGGGUUCGCGGUUCCGCGGCCCCUAAAAUCAGUGGCGGUGCCUGUCGGCUCUACGCGUAGUAAUACUCCUCGUGAUUGAGUCCGGUAGGUCUACUUGCCAGCAACCCCCAAUUUUUACAGGUUGACCUCGGAUCAGGUAGGGAUACCCGCUGAACUUAAGCAUAUCAAUAAGCGGAGGA
rnacentral:misc_RNA from 1 species